GAUGAACGCUGGCGGCGUGCCUAAUACAUGCAAGUCGAGCGAAUGGAUUAAGAGCUUGCUCUUAUGAAGUUAGCGGCGGACUGGUGAGUAACACGUGGGUGACCUGCCCAUAAGACUGGGAUAACUCCGGGAAACCGGGGCUAAUACCGGAUAACAUUUUGAACCGCCUGGUUCGAAAUUGAAAGGCGGCUUCGGCUGUCACUUAUGUAUGGACCCGCGUCGCAUUAGCUAGUUGGUAAGGUAACGGCUCACCAAGGCAACGAUGCGUAGCCGACCUGAGAGGGUGAUCGGCCACACUGGGACUGAGACACGGCCCAGACUCCUACGGGAGGCAGCAGUAGGGAAUCUUCCGCAAUGGACGAAAGUCUGACGGAGCAACGCCGCGUGAGUGAUGAAGGCUUUCGGGUCGUAAAACUCUGUUGUUAGGGAAGAACAAGUGCUAGUUGAAUAAGCUGGCACCUUGACGGUACCCAACCAGAAAGCCACGGCUAACUACGUGCCAGCCGCCGCGGUAA
rnacentral:rRNA from 1 species